rnacentral:rRNA from 1 species
UACGUAGGCAGCGAGCGUUGUUCGGAGUUACUGGGCGUAAAGAGUGCGUAGGCGGUGUUCCAAGUCUGUUGUGAAAUCUCCCGGCUCAACUGGGAGGGUGCGGCGGAAACUGGGACGCUGGAGUACGGGAGAGGUAAGCGGAAUUCCUGGUGUAGCGGUGAAAUGCGCAGAUAUCAGGAGGAACACCGGUGGCGAAGGCGGUUCUCUGGGCCUUACCUGACGCUGAGGAGCGAAAGCGUGGGGAGCAAACAGG